UACGUAGGGUCCGAGCGUUGUCCGGAAUUAUUGGGCGUAAAGAGCUCGUAGGCGGUUUGUCGCGUCUGCUGUGAAAUCCCGAGGCUCAACCUCGGGUCUGCAGUGGGUACGGGCAGACUGGAGUGCGGUAGGGGAGAAUGGAAUUCCUGGUGUAGCGGUGGAAUGCGCAGAUAUCAGGAGGAACACUGAUGGCGAAGGCAGUUCUCUGGGCCGCAACUGACGCUGAGGAGCGAAAGCGUGGGGAGCGAACAGG
rnacentral:rRNA from 1 species